rfam:Myotis brandtii contig258614, whole genome shotgun sequence.
GCCCAUUUGGCUCAGAGGACAGAGCGUUGGCCUGCGGACCAAAGGAUCCUGGGUUUGAUUCCGGUAAAGGGCA